rnacentral:rRNA from 1 species
AUGAACGCUGACAGAAUGCUUAACCCAUGCAAGUCGAUGGGGAAGUGGUGCUUGCACCAUGGUAACCAUGGCGGACGGGUGAGUAACGCGUAAGGAACUUACCUGCGGGACCGGGAUAACAGCAGGAAACUGCUGACAAGACCGGAUAAGGUCAUUAAGCUGCAUAGCUUAGUGAUGAAAGGAGACGCCUGCGGAGAGCCUUGCGUCCUAUUAGCUAGUUGGAGGGGUAACGGCCCACCAAGGCGAAGAUAGGUAGCCGGCCUGAGAGGGUGGACGGCCACAAGGGGACUGAGAUACGGCCCUUACUCCUACGGGAGGCAGCAGUGGGGAAUAUUGGACAAUGGGGGCAACCCUGAUCCAGCAAUUCUGUGUGCACGAAGACGGUUUUCGGAUUGUAAAGUGCUUUCAGCAGGGAAGAAGGAAGUGACGGUACCUGCAGAAGAAGCGACGGCUAAAUACGUG